UACGUAGGGUGCGAGCGUUGUCCGGAAUUACUGGGCGUAAAGAGCUCGUAGGCGGUUUGUCGCGUCGUUCGUGAAAACUUGAUGCUUAACAUCAAGCGUGCGGGCGAUACGGGCAGACUUGAGUACUACAGGGGAGACUGGAAUUCCUGGUGUAGCGGUGAAAUGCGCAGAUAUCAGGAGGAACACCGGUGGCGAAGGCGGGUCUCUGGGUAGUAACUGACGCUGAGGAG
rnacentral:rRNA from 1 species